GGCUCAGGACGAACGCGGCGGGCGUGCUUAACACAUGCAAGUCGAACGAGAUCCAUUCAGUAGCAAUACUGAUGAAGAUCUAGUGGCGAACGGGUGCGUAACACGUGAGGAACUUGUCCCGGUCUCUGGGAUAACAGUUGGAAACGACUGCUAAUACCGGAUGACGUCGGAACUUCGCAUGGAGUACUGACGAAAGGGUUACUGGAUCGGGAGAGCCUCGCGGCCUAUCAGCUUGUUGGUGGGGUAAUGGCCUACCAAGGCAUCGACGGGUAGCUGGUCUGAGAGGAUGAUCAGCCACACUGGGACUGAGACACGGCCCAGACUCCUACGGGAGGCAGCAGUGGGGAAUCUUGCACAAUGGGCGAAAGCCUGAUGCAGCAACGCCGCGUGCGGGAAGAAGGCCCUCGGGUUGUAAACCGCUUUCAGAAGGAACGAAACUGACGGUACUUUCAGAAGAAGGUGCGGCCAACUACGUGCCAGCAGCCGCGGUGACACGUAGGCACCAAGCGUUGUCCGGAUUUAUUGGGCGUAAAGAGCUCGUAGGCGGUUCAGUAAGUCGGGUGUGAAAACUUUGGGCUUAACCCAAAGCGUGCAUCUGAUACUGCUGUGACUUGAGUUCGGUAGGGGAGCGGGGAAUUCCUAGUGUAGCGGUGAAAUGCGCAGAUAUUAGGAGGAACACCGGUGGCGAAGGCGCCGCUCUGGGCCGAAACUGACGCUGAGGAGCGAAAGCAUGGGUAGCAAACAGGAUUAGAUACCCUGGUAGUCCAUGCCGUAAACGUUGGGCACUAGGUGUGGGUUCCAACCAACGGAAUCCGCGCCGUCGCUAACGCAUUAAGUGCCCCGCCUGGGGAGUACG
rnacentral:rRNA from 1 species